CCAGCCCGCUCAGAAACUUAAAGGAAUUGACGGGGGCCCGCACAAGCGGAGGAACAUGUGGUUUAAUUCGAUGAUACGCGAGGAACCUUACCCGGGCUUGAAAUGCAUCUGACCGGCCUUGAAAGAGGCACUCCCUUCGGGGCAGAUGUGUAGGUGCUGCAUGGUUGUCGUCAGCUCGUGCCGUGAGGUGUCGGCUUAAGUGCCAUAACGAGCGCAACCCUCAUCAUUAGUUACCAUCAGGUAAGGCUGGGGACUCUAAUGAGACUGCCAUCGUAAGAUGUGAGGAAGGUGGGGAUGACGUCAAAUCAGCACGGCCCUUACGUCCGGGGCGACACACGUGUUACAAUGGGUGGUACAAAGGGCAGCUACCUGGCGACAGGAUGCUAAUCUCGAAAACCGCUCUCAGUUCGGAUCGGAGUCUGCAACUCGACUCCGUGAAGCUGGAUUCGCUAGUAAUCGCGCAUCAGCCACGGCGCGGUGAAUACGUUCCCGGGCCUU
rnacentral:rRNA from 1 species